ACAUCAGUAGUCUAGUGGUAAAAUUCAUCGUUUCCAAAGAUGGGUCCCGCGUUCGAUUCGCGGCUGAUGCA
rnacentral:tRNA from 1 species